CGGACAUAAAUCCCAACACCCAUAACAUAAAAGUUUAAUGAAUAAUAAUCAAGCUUGACUCAGAUACAAAUCAAAUGAUGACAUGUCUAGAUAUGCAUUCUCCUUCUAGCUGUUUGAUGAUGUUCCUGUUCUUAUCAAUUGAUAUCUUCAGUUGCUUCUUCUAUUCAUCUGCCAUCUUUAUCAACUCAUCCUUGGUUGUGUUCAGCUAAAACAAAUAAGUAUGGUAUUAAUAAGAUACAAUUUAUAACUUACACAGUAUAAUUAGGCAUAUUGUAGUAUGAGGGUAUUUUGACGUGUUUUAAUAUAACCAUUGUUGCUGGAUUGUUUUCGUCUAUAUUUGAGUUGGUAGCACAAGAAAGUUCAAAUGUACCUAUUCGCAUGAGAUUUUCGAAGAAAUUUGAUUUGUGGUGUUGAAUUUGAGUUGGUGUUGUAUUUGUGUUGAGUUGAUGCGAUGUGGUUCAAUCUCUAGAAUUUGAUCAUCCAAUUCUCUCUCGAUUGGAUGCUUACGCUUGAUUUGAGGAAGUGGAGCACGUUAUGUUCUUGAAGUUGGAGUCUUGGAAGAAAGCUUUGUAUCUUCAACGAAGAUUCAAUCUUCGAGGAAAGUUGAAGUCUUGGAAGAAAGUUUGUAUUCAAAGAAGCUUCAAUCUUUGAGGGUGAUCGACUUCAGAAGUUAGGAAGUCUUCU
rnacentral:lncRNA from 1 species